rnacentral:rRNA from 1 species
GAUGAACGCUGGCGGCGUGCCUAAUACAUGCAAGUCGAGCGAACAGAUAAGGAGCUUGCUCCUUUGACGUUAGCGGCGGACGGGUGAGUAACACGUGGGUAACCUACCUAUAAGACUGGGAUAACUUCGGGAAACCGGAGCUAAUACCGGAUAACAUUUGGAACCGCAUGGUUCUAAAGUGAAAGAUGGUUUUGCUAUCACUUAUAGAUGGACCCGCGCCGUAUUAGCUAGUUGGUAAGGUAACGGCUUACCAAGGCGACGAUACGUAGCCGACCUGAGAGGGUGAUCGGCCACACUGGAACUGAGACACGGUCCAGACUCCUACGGGAGGCAGCAGUAGGGAAUCUUCCGCAAUGGGCGAAAGCCUGACGGAGCAACGCCGCGUGAGUGAUGAAGGGUUUCGGCUCGUAAAACUCUGUUAUUAGUGAAGAACAAACGUGUAAGUAACUGUGCACGUCUUGACGGUACCUAAUCAGAAAGCCACGGCUAACUACGUG